rnacentral:rRNA from 1 species
UACGUAGGGUGCGAGCGUUAAUCGGAAUUACUGGGCGUAAAGCGUGCGUAGGCGGCGCAGUAAGUCCCAUGUGAAAGCCCACGGCUUAACCGUGGAAGUGCAUGGGGAAACUACUGUGCUUGAGUACUUAAGAGGAUCGCGGAAUUCCCGGUGUAGAGGUGAAAUUCGUAGAUAUCGGGAGGAACACCAGUGGCGAAGGCGGCGAUCUGGGAAGUUACUGACGCUGAGGUGCGAAAGCGUGGGGAGCAAACAGGG